UACGUAGGGGGCAAGGCGUUGUCCGGAUUUAUUGGGCGUAAAGAGCGUGUAGGCGGCCAAACAGGUCAGCUGUGAAAACUCGAGGCUCAACCUCGAGACGUCGGUUGAAACCGUUUGGCUAGAGUCCGGAAGAGGAGAGUGGAAUUCCCGGUGUAGCGGUGAAAUGCGCAGAUAUCAGGAAGGAACACCCGUGGCGAAGGCGGACUC
rnacentral:rRNA from 1 species